AUUGAACGCUGGCGGCAGGCCUAACACAUGCAAGUCGAGCGGAGCGGCGGACGGGUGAUUAAUUCCUAGGAACCUGCCUGGCAGUGGGGGAUAACGUCCGGAAACGGGCGCUAAUAUCGCAUACUAUCAGAUGAGCCUAGCUCGGAUUAGCUAGUUAGUGGGGUAAAGGCCUUCCAAGGCGACGUACCGUAACUGGUCUUAGAGGAUGAUCAGUUCAACUGGAACUUAGACAAGGUCCAGACUCCUACGGAAGGCAGCAGUGGGGAAUAUUGGACAAUGGGCGAAAGCCGGAUCCAGCCAUGCCGCGUGUGUGAAGAAGGUCUGCGGAUUGUAAAGCACUUUAAGUUGGGAGGCGUUACCAACAGAAUAAGCACCGGCUAACUUCGUGCCAGCAGCCGCGGUAAUUC
rnacentral:rRNA from 1 species